rnacentral:misc_RNA from 1 species
GUUCCUGAACCAUGGCCACCCCUAGGAAAUAGGAUUUUAAAAUAUACAUGCAAUGCAAAAAAGCACUAGAAAAAUCUAAAUUAGAUUUAGCCCUAAGAAUCAUGAAGCCCAUUUAAAUGACAUUACUACACAACGCAGCCCAGCCCACAUAAUACACAUACACAAACACAAUCACAAUUACAAAACAAAAUACACACCCACUAACUACACU